AUAUUGGUCAAUGGAGGCAACUCUGACCCAGCCAUGCCGCGUGCAGGAAGAAUGCCUUAUGGGUUGUAAACUGCUUUUAUUUGGGAAGAACCCCUCGAACGUGUUCGAGGCUGACGGUACCAAACGAAUAAGCACCGGCUAACUCCGUGCCAGCAGCCGCGGUAAUACGGAGGGUGCAAGCGUUAUCCGGAAUCAUUGGGUUUAAAGGGUCCGCAGGCGGAAAGAUAAGUCAGUGGUGAAAUCUCCCAGCUCAACUGGGAAACUGCCAUUGAUACUGUUUUUCUUGAAUUUGGUCGGAGUGGGCGGAAUGUGUCAUGUAGCGGUGAAAUGCAUAGAUAUGACACAGAACACCGAUAGCGAAGGCAGCUCACUAGACCUGAAUUGACGCUCAUGGACGAAAGCGUGGGGAGCGAACAGG
rnacentral:rRNA from 1 species